rnacentral:rRNA from 1 species
AUACGAAGGGCCCGAGCGUUGCGCGGAAUUACUGGGCUUAAAGCGUACGUAGGCGGGCACGCAGGCGUCGUGUGAAAUCCCUCCGCUCAACGGAGGAACUGCACGGCGAACCGCGUGUCUUGAGACAAGUAGGGGCGAUCGGAACGCUAGGUGGAGUGGUGAAAUGCGUUGAUAUCUAGCGGAACGCCGAAGGAGAAAUCAGAUCGCUGGGCUUGUUCUGACGCUGAGGUACGAAAGCGUGGGGAGCGAACGGGAUUAGAAACCCUAGUAGUCC